AGAGUUUGAUCCUGGCUCAGAGCGAACGCUGGCGGCGUGCUUAACACAUGCAAGUCGAGUGCGCGGUAGCAAUACUGGCGCACGGCGCACGGGUGCGUAACACGUGGGCAACCUGCCCUUCAAUGGGGGAUAACCCCGCGAAAGCGGGGCUAAUACCGCAUGAUAUUCCUGGGACUUCUGUUCUGGGACUCAAAGCCGAA
rnacentral:rRNA from 1 species